rnacentral:rRNA from 1 species
GAUGGAGGGGGAUAACUACUGGAAACGGUAGCUAAUACCGCAUAACGUCGCAAGACCAAAGAGGGGGACCUUCGGGCCUCUUGCCAUCGGAUGUGCCCAGAUGGGAUUAGCUAGUAGGUGGGGUAACGGCUCACCUAGGCGACGAUCCCUAGCUGGUCUGAGAGGAUGACCAGCCACACUGGAACUGAGACACGGUCCAGACUCCUACGGGAGGCAGCAGUGGGGAAUAUUGCACAAUGGGCGCAAGCCUGAUGCAGCCAUGCCGCGUGUAUGAAGAAGGCCUUCGGGUUGUAAAGUACUUUCAGCGGGGAGGAAGGGAGUAAAGUUAAUACCUUUGCUCAUUGACGUUACCCGCAGAAGAAGCACCGGCUAACUCCGUGCCAGCAGCCGCGGUAAUACGGAGGGUGCAAGCGUUAAUCGGAAUUACUGGGCGUAAAGCGCACGCAGGCGGUUUGUUAAGUCAGAUGUGAAACCCCCCGGGCUCA